GCUGGGUGUGCUGGUGCACACCUGUAAUCCAAGCUACUUGGGAGGCUGAGACAGGAGAAUCGCUUGAACCCAGGAGACAGAGGUUGCAGUGAGCUGAGAUGGCACCACUGCACUCCAGCCUGGGCGACAGAGUGAGACUCUGUCUCAAAAUAAAAAAUAAGCUGGGUGUGGUGGUUCACGCCUGUAAUCCUAGCAUUUUGGGAGGCUGAGGUGGGUGGAUUCGCUGAGCUCAGGAGUUGGAGACCAGCCUGGGCAACAUGGUGAAACCCCAUUUCU
ensembl:misc_RNA Metazoa_SRP Metazoan signal recognition particle RNA